GACGAACGCUGGCGGCGUGCUUAACACAUGCAAGUCGAACGGAAAGGCCCUGCUUUUGUGGGGUGCUCGAGUGGCGAACGGGUGAGUAACACGUGAGUAACCUGCCCUUGACUUUGGGAUAACUUCAGGAAACUGGGGCUAAUACCGGAUAGGAGCUCCUGCUGCAUGGUGGGGGUUGGAAAUUUUCGGCGGUUGGGGAUGGACUCGCGGCUUAUCAGCUUGUUGGUGGGGUGGUGGCUUACCAAGGCUUUGACGGGUAGCCGGCCUGAGAGGGUGACCGGCCACAUUGGGACUGAGAUACGGCCCAGACUCCUACGGGAGGCAGCAGUGGGGAAUAUUGCACAAUGGGCGGAAGCCUGAUGCAGCAACGCCGCGUGCGGGAUGACGGCCUUCGGGUUGUAAACCGCUUUCGCCUGUGACGAAGCGUGAGUGACGGUAAUGGGUAAAGAAGCACCGGCUAACUACGUG
rnacentral:rRNA from 1 species